UACGGAGGGAGCUAGCGUUGUUCGGAAUUACUGGGCGUAAAGCGUGCGCAGACGGUUGCGUAAGUCAGAUGUGAAAGCCCCGGGCUCAACCUGGGAAUUGCAUUUGAGACUGCGUAGCUAGGGUGCGGAAGAGGGAAGCGGAAUUUCCGGUGUAGCGGUGAAAUGCGUAGAUAUCGGAAGGAACACCAGUGGCGAAAGCGGCUUCCUGGUCCAGCACCGACGUCAGGCACGAAAGCGUGGGGAGCAAACAGG
rnacentral:rRNA from 1 species